CGACGCUUAAGAGAGAAAAAAAAAGGAAAAAUAUAUCCCUUCGGCGCCGCACGACUCGAGCAGCUCAAAGCUAUGGCGACGGCGGAGGCCGGAGGCGAUUGAUUCGAGUUCUUAUUACAUCAGGUUGAUAGGUUCCUGCUGCCGGAUCUUGGAGGUGGGGAAGCCACACCUGACAGCGAACGCAACGAAACUAUGGUCUUCGAGGAUGCCGCAUCAAGCAUUGGAGAUGUGGGCGAUCUGGCACUGACAGUGCAACUAGAACUGAACAACACUUGUGAGGAGCUCAGGUUGCCGGUGCCCAGCUCAGAACAGUCAACAGGAAAAGACGGUCCUCAGGAGUCAGGCGCAGGGCUGGACGAAGAGGGUUCGUGCUGGAAAUGCACCUGCUGAACGGCCACCCUGCGCUGGCAGAAUAAGUGCCCUGGAGAAAACAUUAAGAGGUUAUGCAGAGAAGAAGACUGAGACUGUUGUGGUUCCUCAAAUACAUACUCCCUCCGUCCGGAAAUACUUGUCAUCAAAAUGAAUAAAAGGGGAUGUAUCUAGAUGUAUUUUAGUUCUAGAUACAACCCUUUUUGUCCAUUUUGAUGACAAGUAUUGUUGGACGGAGGGAGUAGGAAGCAACUUCGAUUCGCUUGGGCAAGCAUAUGACUAAUACAACCUGUAUUCAUGCGGAAUUGGAUUUGGAAUUAAUACGGCAAGAGCAGGAAAUAGUCUGUGGAUGCCUGGUGAGUAUUAAUUUCAAUUGGCUAUUGUUUAUAACAUGAUCCUGCUGGUGCAGAUGCCCCACAGUGAUACGGUUGUUGCGAUCAAACGAAAACGGCUGGUACGUCAGUGAAAACAGGAUGCCACACAAUCAUCGCCGACGGAAAAGUGUGGCCAGAAGGUGUGCUGGCCUUCACACAAACAUAUCGAUAUAUACACGCAUGAUGUUGUCAAACAGCUCUGUGAAAAUAAUAUUGGCAUUGGCAAGGUUUACAAUAUAAUUUCUAGUUUCUUCGGUUCAAUGAGCAAUAUACCAUUCAGAAAAAGGCGUUGAGGGGGCCGUGUGGGCAAAUAAGUCGCGAUCAGGCAGAUGAUGAUGUCCGGAAGACAACGGAGGUUUGUUUGAAAAAUAUUUAUACACUCGACCUAUGUUUGAAAUUGAACACGCCACUGAAAUUGCAUGGUAGCGAUGUAUAUACACGAGCUAUGUUUGAGAAUUUUGGGGAAGUCCUGUAUGAAGGAGGGCAGUACAAAGUGGAAGUGGUCAGUAAAGGCAAAACCUAUUUUGUGCGAUGGUAUCAUCCAAAGAAGCAUGAAUAGUGGUGCAGGGUUGUCUCCAAAGUUGAAGUUAUUGAGCAGGGCAGAGAACUCACAUGUGCGUGUGGCAAUUUCGAGCACACAUGAUUGCUGUGCUGCCAUGCAGUGAAGGUCCUCGAUUUCCUUGGUAUAGACCAGAUACCAGCAAAACACAUUCUUGAACGUUGGAAAAAAAUGCAAGGGAUAUAUUGGCAGACCACUUGGCACAUCUUCAAAAGGAUAAAAUUUCAGUGACCUCAAUAACAUUCAGACACACAAAUCUAUACACACAUGCCCUUGAAGUUGUGAGAUUUGGAGAUGCAAGCAUACUGCAUAUGAGUGUGCAGUUAAUCUCUUGAAAUCAACAAUGGAUAAAUUGACGCCUAUAGCCACUGUGCGGGAUGGAAUAGGGUCAAAGGACAGAAUUCAGACGAACAAGGGAAAAACUUAAGAAUUGAUUGCAUUGCAUGCACCUUCCAGUGGAUGUGCUAGUGACGCCGAAGGGAGUGGCAUUGAUAAUUUCAUGGGUUUAAAAGCUCCAGAACCAAAGCGUAAAUCAGGUUGACCAACCACCAGCAGGAACAAGCCUCCAUAUGAUGACCGGGGUGCAAAAAGCAAAAAAUACAAACGAGCAGGAAAUGCACAUGGUGUCGGCGGAUGCGGUACAAGCAAACGUUCUUGCUUCUGUAGCAUAUGGUGCGAUCCAGGACACGACAGCACCACCUGUCCGCAAAAGGGUGAUCUUCCUCAAAAAUAAAGGAAGGAAGCUAAAUGUUCAAACUGUGGUGUCAGUGGUCACAGAAAGAACACCUGCAACAAGCCUAAGGUGGUUCUGCAUGUUGUUGAAAAUGCUACUUUACAGGAAAAUGAAACCUGUGGGUGACCUACUUAAGUUCAGUUUUUCUUUGUGUGUCGUUGAGGGCUCCGUAGCCGUUAUGUGUAAUGACAACACUAAGCACACUGUGAUGUUUGUUUCAGUUCA